UCAACUAUAAAUUUAUUUUAAUUUUUGUUAUUUAGUACAUACUUUCAUAAUUUUUAAUUAUUUUAGAUAAAUUUUUAUUUAAUUAAAAAGAUUAUAUUAAAGUUAAUAGCUCAGUCAACUAAUAAUAAUCAAUUAUCACAAUUGUAUUUAGUAAAAAUUAAGAAAUUAAAUUAUUAACUGAAUUACUAUUAGAUUUAGUAAAUUUCAAAAUUAUUUGAGUGAAAUAAUAUAAAUAAAAUAAUUAAAAGUCAAGUAAAUAUAAAUAAAAAAAGGGAAUGUUUUUUUUACACUAACAAUUUAGUCAAUAUAUUUCCUCAUCAAAAUUUUGAUUAGGUAUAUUUUAUAAUUAAUUGCUAAAAUUUUAAUUUGUAUGUACUUUGGCCCCCCUCGUAAUCAAGUCCUAGCUUCGUCACCGAGUUUGGAGAAGUUGUGUGGCCAUUUUUCAACAGAGUUUCAUUCUAGCUCUGAUACCAAAUGUUUGUGGGCUAAUAUAUAAAUGGACUACAAAAAGUAUUUAAUACUUGAAUAACAAACUUUAUUAGUAUAACUAAACUUCAGUACGUCAUAACUGAAUAAUACAAUUUGAUCCACACUUCACAACUCUACACAACAAAUUACAUGCCCUAUAUUUAUGGAUUAUGAAAUGACGCAACUCUUCACGAAAAAAGACAAUCCUUCACUAAAAAAUAUGAUCCUAAGCUAAAAGACACAACCUUACAAAAGAACACACCCUUUCAUAAAAUACACAACUUUUCAAUAAAAUAUUU
rnacentral:lncRNA from 1 species